AAAAUGUCAGUGUAAAACAGGUACAGGGUGUCAUUAAAAUGUACAUCUGAGGACCUCAUCUUUGAAGGCAUGUCAGGAAAGGCUUUCUGAAAAAGUGACUUCAAGGUUAAUUCUGAAAGUCGAAGACAAAUUGGACAGAAAGAGGGAGAAAGUAUUUUCCAUAUAGAGAAUAUCUUCAGUAAAUCCUGAGGCAAGAACAGAUCAUGGCUACUUGGAAGGAUUAAAAUCAAACCAAUGUGACUAAACAAGUAUAGACAAUGGGUCAUUGGAUCAUACUAGGGACAGAUUUGGAGAACAAAUGAUCAUCUGCAGAAGUUUUCCUUCCUUUGAAUGAUCUCCCAAUCUCCUCAUAGUGAUGAGGAUGUUCUUUUGACAGUAUUAUCCUUAUGGCAGACCAGAAAGGACGGAAGGUCUGCAUCAACACGUCGGGAAGUCAAAGCGAACCUCUCUCAAAGUAGCAUAUUAGGCUCUAGGUUCAUUAGUCCAUUUGGGAAAUACUCUGUGGAUGUUGAGGUAA